rnacentral:rRNA from 1 species
CAUCCCGGUCGCGAUUUCCAGAGAUGGAUUUCUUCAGUUCGGCUGGACCGGAGACAGGUGUUGCAUGGCUGUCGUCAGCUCGUGUCGUGAGAUGUUGGGUUAAGUCCCGCAACGAGCGCAACCCUCGCCUUUAGUUGCCAUCAUUUAGUUGGGCACUCUAGAGGGACUGCCGGUGAUAAGCCGGAGGAAGGUGGGGAUGACGUCAAGUCCUCAUGGCCCUUACGGGUUGGGCUACACACGUGCUACAAUGGCGGCGACAAUGGGCAGCGAAGGGGCGACCCGGUGCAAAUCCCAAAAAGCCGUCUCAGUUCGGAUUGUACUCUGCAACUCGAGUGCAUGAAGGUGGAAUCGCUAGUAAUCGCGUAACAGCAUGACGCGGUGAAUACGUUCCCGGGCCUUGUACACACCGCCCGUCACACCAUGGGAGUUGGUUUUACCCGAAGCUGGUGCGCUAACCGCAAGGAGGCAGCCAACCACGGUAAGGUCAGCGACUGGGGUGAAGUCGUAACAAGGUAGCCCUAGGGGAACCUGGGACUGGAUCACCUCGUUAAGUUGGAUCCCGGGAAUCGAAUUCCCGCGCC